CCAGCACUAAUGCACUGGAUCCCAUCAGAACUCCGCAGUUAAGCGUGCCUGAGCGAGAGUAGUACUAGGAUGGGUGACCCCCAC
rnacentral:sRNA from 1 species